rnacentral:rRNA from 1 species
AGCGGCAGGCUUAAUACAUGCAAGUUGAGGGGCAGCAUGAUAUACGCGAGUAUAUUGAUGGCGACCGGCGGACGGGUGAGUAAUAGGUAGGAGACCUACCUCAUACAGGGGGAUAGCAUAGAGAAAUCUGUGGUAAUACCCCAUGAGGUUAUAUGAAUAGAGGCAUAUAAUCAAAGCAUAAGCGAUUAUGCGGUAUGAGAGGGGCCUACUGACCAUUAGCUAGUUGGUGAGGUAAGGGCUCACCAAGGCGAAGAUGGUUAGGGGUUUUGAGAGAGAGACCCCCCACAUUGGAACUGAGAGACGGUCCAGACUCCUACGGGAGGCAGCAGUGAGGAAUAUUGGUCAAUGGGCGGAAGCCUGAACCAGCCAUCCCGCGUGAAGGAAGACAGCCUUACGGGUUGUAAACUUCUUUUCUGUCAGAAGAAUAAGCUUGUCGAGACGAGUGAUGCCGGUAUGACAGGAAUAAGCAUCGGCUAACUCCGUG